rnacentral:rRNA from 1 species
CUGCAGCUCAAGUGGUGACCGCUAUUAUUGGGCCUAAAACGUUCGUAGCCGGCUGAGUAAAUGCUUGGGUAAAUCGUGCCGCUUAACGGUACGAAUUCCGGGUAGACUACUCAGCUUGAGACCGGGAGAAGCUAGAGGUACUCCUGGGGUAGAGGUGAAAUUCUGUAAUCCUGGGGGGACCACCAGUGGCGAAGGCGUCUAGCUAGAACGGGUCUGCCGGUGAGGGACGAAACCCUGGGGCGCGAACCGGAUUAGAUACCCGCGUAGUCC